rnacentral:rRNA from 1 species
UACGGGGGGAGCAAGCGUUGUUCGGAUUUACUGGGCGUAAAGGGCGCGUAGGCGGUCAGCACAAGUCAGUUGUGAAAUUUCCGGGCUUAACUCGGAAAGGUCAACUGAUACUGUGCGACUAGAGUGCAGAAGGGGCAACUGGAAUUCUCGGUGUAGCGGUGAAAUGCGUAGAUAUCGAGAGGAACACCUGCGGCGAAGGCGGGUUGCUGGGCUGACACUGACGCUGAUGCGCGAAAGCCAGGGGAGCGAACGGG